GCUGAGCAGGGUCUCAGGCAAAGCUGGAUGCUCCAUGCACUUUUCAUAAAAGGUGAGCGCAGAGCCCAUGGGAGCGAUGGGAAAAAGAUCCGUCUCGACCCACUCCAAAGAUUCACGACAGUGGACAACAACAAAUUCAAGAGUCACACGGGCAACAGCGCCCGCAGGAUCGUGGAGCAUCGUC
rnacentral:snRNA from 11 species